AGGGUGAUAGUCCCGUACACCAAAAUGCACAGGUUGUGAACUCGAAGAGUAGGGCGGGACACGUGGUAUCCUGUCUGAAUAUGGGGGGACCAUCCUCCAAGGCUAAAUACUCCUGACUGACCGAUAGUGAACCAGUACCGUGAGGGAAAGGCGAAAAGAACCCCGGCGAGGGGAGUGAAAAAGAACCUGAAACCGUGUACGUACAAGCAGUGGGAGCACCUUCGGGUGUGACUGCGUACCUUUUGUAUAAUGGGUCAGCGACUUAUAUUCUGUAGCAAGGUUAACCGUAUAGGGGAGCCGCAGGGAAACCGAGUCUUAACUGGGCGUUAAGUUGCAGGGUAUAGACCCGAAACCCGGUGAUCUAGCCAUGGGCAGGUUGAAGGUUGGGUAACACUAACUGGAGGACCGAACCGACUAAUGUUGAAAAAUUAGCGGAUGACUUGUGGCUGGGGGUGAAAGGCCAAUCAAACCGGGAGAUAGCUGGUUCUCCCCGAAAGCUAUUUAGGUAGCGCCUCGUGAACUCAUCUUCGGGGGUAGAGCACUGUUUCGGCUAGGGGGUCAUCCCGACUUACCAACCCGAUGCAAACUACGAAUACCGAAGAAUGUUAUCACGGGAGACACACGGCGGGUGCUAACGUCCGUCGUGAAGAGGGAAACAACCCAGACCGCCAGCUAAGGUCCCAAAGUCAUGGUUAAGUGGGAAACGAUGUGGGAAGGCACAGACAGCCAGGAUGUUGGCUUAGAAGCAGCCAUCAUUUAAAGAAAGCGUAAUAGCUCACUGGUCGAGUCGGCCUGCGCGGAAGAUGUAACGGGGCUAAACCAUGCACCGAAGCUGCGGCAGCGACACUAUGUGUUGUUG
rnacentral:rRNA from 1 species